rnacentral:rRNA from 4 species
GAUUAAGUUAUUAAGGGCGCACGGUGGAUGCCUUGGCACUAGAAGCCGAUGAAGGACGUUACUAACGACGAUAUGCUUUGGGGAGCUGUAAGUAAGCUUUGAUCCAGAGAUUUCCGAAUGGGGAAACCCAGCAUGAGUUAUGUCAUGUUAUCGAUAUGUGAAUACAUAGCAUAUCAGAAGGCACACCCGGAGAACUGAAACAUCUUAGUACCCGGAGGAAGAGAAAGAAAAUUCGAUUCCCUUAGUAGCGGCGAGCGAAACGGGAAGAGCCCAAACCAACAAGCUUGCUUGUUGGGGUUGUAGGACACUCUAUACGGAGUUACAAAGGACGACAUUAGACGAAUCAUCUGGAAAGAUGAAUCAAAGAAGGUAAUAAUCCUGUAGUCGAAAAUGUUGUCUCUCUUGAGUGGAUCCUGAGUACGACGGAGCACGUGAAAUUCCGUCGGAAUCUGGGAGGACCAUCUCCUAAGGCUAAAUACUCUCUAGUGACCGAUAGUGAACCAGUACCGUGAGGGAAAGGUGAAAAGCACCCCGGAAGGGGAGUGAAAUAGAACCUGAAACCGUGUGCUUACAAGUAGUCAGAGCCCGUUAAUGGGUGAUGGCGUGCCUUUUGUAGAAUGAACCGGCGAGUUACGAUUUGAUGCAAGGUUAAGCAGUAAAUGUGGAGCCGUAGCGAAAGCGAGUCUGAAUAGGGCGUUUAGUAUUUGGUCGUAGACCCGAAACCAGGUGAUCUACCCUUGGUCAGGUUGAAGUUCAGGUAACACUGAAUGGAGGACCGAACCGACUUACGUUGAAAAGUGAGCGGAUGAACUGAGGGUAGCGGAGAAAUUCCAAUCGAACCUGGAGAUAGCUGGUUCUCUCCGAAAUAGCUUUAGGGCUAGCCUCAAGUGAUGAUUAUUGGAGGUAGAGCACUGUUUGGACGAGGGGCCCCUCUCGGGUUACCGAAUUCAGACAAACUCCGAAUGCCAAUUAAUUUAACUUGGGAGUCAGAACAUGGGUGAUAAGGUCCGUGUUCGAAAGGGAAACAGCCCAGACCACCAGCUAAGGUCCCAAAAUAUAUGUUAAGUGGAAAAGGAUGUGGCGUUGCCCAGACAACUAGGAUGUUGGCUUAGAAGCAGCCAUCAUUUAAAGAGUGCGUAAUAGCUCACUAGUCGAGUGACACUGCGCCGAAAAUGUACCGGGGCUAAACAUAUUACCGAAGCUGUGGAUUGUCCUUUGGACAAUGGUAGGAGAGCGUUCUAAGGGCGUUGAAGCAUGAUCGUAAGAACAUGUGGAGCGCUUAGAAGUGAGAAUGCCGGUGUGAGUAGCGAAAGACGGGUGAGAAUCCCGUCCACCGAUUGACUAAGGUUUCCAGAGGAAGGCUCGUCCGCUCUGGGUUAGUCGGGUCCUAAGCUGAGGCCGACAGGCGUAGGCGAUGGAUAACAGGUUGAUAUUCCUGUACCACCUAUAAUCGUUUUAAUCGAUGGGGGGACGCAGUAGGAUAGGCGAAGCGUGCGAUUGGAUUGCACGUCUAAGCAGUAAGGCUGAGUAUUAGGCAAAUCCGGUACUCGUUAAGGCUGAGCUGUGAUGGGGAGAAGACAUUGUGUCUUCGAGUCGUUGAUUUCACACUGCCGAGAAAAGCCUCUAGAUAGAAAAUAGGUGCCCGUACCGCAAACCGACACAGGUAGUCAAGAUGAGAAUUCUAAGGUGAGCGAGCGAACUCUCGUUAAGGAACUCGGCAAAAUGACCCCGUAACUUCGGGAGAAGGGGUGCUCUUUAGGGUUAACGCCCAGAAGAGCCGCAGUGAAUAGGCCCAAGCGACUGUUUAUCAAAAACACAGGUCUCUGCUAAACCGUAAGGUGAUGUAUAGGGGCUGACGCCUGCCCGGUGCUGGAAGGUUAAGAGGAGUGGUUAGCUUCUGCGAAGCUACGAAUCGAAGCCCCAGUAAACGGCGGCCGUAACUAUAACGGUCCUAAGGUAGCGAAAUUCCUUGUCGGGUAAGUUCCGACCCGCACGAAAGGCGUAACGAUUUGGGCACUGUCUCAACGAGAGACUCGGUGAAAUCAUAGUACCUGUGAAGAUGCAGGUUACCCGCGACAGGACGGAAAGACCCCGUGGAGCUUUACUGUAGCCUGAUAUUGAAAUUCGGCACAGCUUGUACAGGAUAGGUAGGAGCCUUUGAAACGUGAGCGCUAGCUUACGUGGAGGCGCUGGUGGGAUACUACCCUAGCUGUGUUGGCUUUCUAACCCGCACCACUUAUCGUGGUGGGAGACAGUGUCAGGCGGGCAGUUUGACUGGGGCGGUCGCCUCCUAAAAGGUAACGGAGGCGCUCAAAGGUUCCCUCAGAAUGGUUGGAAAUCAUUCAUAGAGUGUAAAGGCAUAAGGGAGCUUGACUGCGAGACCUACAAGUCGAGCAGGGUCGAAAGACGGACUUAGUGAUCCGGUGGUUCCGCAUGGAAGGGCCAUCGCUCAACGGAUAAAAGCUACCCCGGGGAUAACAGGCUUAUCUCCCCCAAGAGUUCACAUCGACGGGGAGGUUUGGCACCUCGAUGUCGGCUCAUCGCAUCCUGGGGCUGUAGUCGGUCCCAAGGGUUGGGCUGUUCGCCCAUUAAAGCGGUACGCGAGCUGGGUUCAGAACGUCGUGAGACAGUUCGGUCCCUAUCCGUCGUGGGCGUAGGAAAUUUGAGAGGAGCUGUCCUUAGUACGAGAGGACCGGGAUGGACAUACCUCUGGUGUACCAGUUGUCGUGCCAACGGCAUAGCUGGGUAGCUAUGUGUGGACGGGAUAAGUGCUGAAAGCAUCUAAGCAUGAAGCCCCCCUCAAGAUGAGAUUUCCCAACUUCGGUUAUAAGAUC